rnacentral:lncRNA from 1 species
AGGGAGUAGCUCAAAGGCAAUCUUGAUCAAUGGCUCACAACCACCUGUAACUCCAGCUACAGGGGAAUCCAAGACCUCUGGCCUCCUUGGGCACCUACACUCACAUGGACAUAUCUACCAAUGACGGACACACAUACACAUAAUUUAGAAAGGAGCGGGAGGAGAAGCCAGCCAGGACCGGGUAGUUUACUGCAGUCCAUGAGUACUGAGUUUGCUCCACAAUAUCACACUCACACACCAUAAAAACAGAAAAAUGGGCCAGGCGUGGUGGUGCACGCCUUUAAUCCCAGCACAUGGGAGGCAGAGACAGGAGGAUGUCUAAAUUCAAGGCCAGCCUGAUCUACAGAAUGAGUUCCAGGACAGCCAGGGCCACACAGAGAAACCCUGUCUCAAAAAAACUAAAAAAAAAAAAAAAAAAAAAAAAAAAAAAGAAAAAAAAAAUAGAAAAACGGAGCCAGCAAAACGGCCCUGAGGAUAAAGGUAAACACCCCACAUGCCCACAAGCCUGAUGAUCAGAAUUUGAUCCUUUGGCUCCACAUGGUGAAAAGGAAGAAUGAAUCCUGCAAACUAUCCUCUGACUCUUCAGCAAGCACCAUGUGUGUGCACAUAAAUAAAUAACUGAAACACACACACACACACACACACACACACACACACACACCAGACAGUUACAUGAAACAAGUGUGUGAGAGGAACUGCAGAUACUAAGAUGCUAAGACCAAGAAUAAAAAUACCAAGUAGAAAAGGCAGUAGAAAAGGUGCUAUUGGAGUUGAACUGAGAAAUGUGUUUGUGGUGCUGAGGAUUGAACCCAGGGUGUUGGGCGUGCCUGGCAAAUGCUCUGCCACUGAGGUACAUCCCAGCCCUGGAAACAAACACGUUAACAACACAUUCAGACCAGUGGAUUCCCUCAGAAAUAGCCCAUUUUAGCUCUUGAAUAAAGACCCAGAGACCUGUUAUUUUUAUUAACAAGCUGCGUGCACUAAGCUGGGCAGGCUCGGAGCUAUUCUAAGCCGUAGCCUGCCCAGUUCCCAGCCCUGGGUCACUCUGGUCUGUGUGUAUCCUCAUGGCUGCUCUCUCGUUGCGAAUCCUGGUCCCUCCACAUGGUCUCUCCACACCUUCUCCUUCUCGAGGUCUUUCUCAACCUUCUGUGGUCUCUCUGGAACCUCUCACUGGGAUUGGAAGUCCUGUCCCAGUCUCUUUUGCUCAGCUAAUUGGCUGAUCAGCUCUUUAUUAAACUAAUUAGCAUAGAGAAGAAUUUUACAUAACUCUGAGACAGGUGAUGCUUC